GAAGCAUCAAAAGGCCUCAACUCUACUUGUUGCAAGACUAAAAACCAGUGAGGAAGAGGAGGAUACAGCUGCAGGGUGUCAAAGGAAGGAAUUUGUGGAGACACGUCGCUGGCCGUGAUCUCCAUUGAGACAGACUUUUAUACAUGAAGAAAGAAAAGGAACACGUCUACAGACAGGUUUUCCAUGUGUUUCUUCAGAAGCAGCGGUGCACUGACUUCAUUUAUAAGUAAAGCUCUGACCAGGGUGGCAGUGACAGAAGCGGGGGAGUGAGGAGCGAAUAGCAGCGCCUCAGCAAGUGAGGGCGAGUCAGAAGGGGGCAGCAAGGGAUUUUCCACAGCAUGUGUUGGAUAAUUGUUCUGCUGCAGAACCCAAAUGCAAUUAGGAUCCAUCAUGAAUAGAUGGUUACAGCCAGGUCCCAAAGCGGCAAAGCAAACCCAUACCAUGAAACCACCUCCGCCUUCUUUUGCUAUAAUGUUUCUUUUCAGAUUAUCCAGAAGUUUCUGUCAAAUGUAACACAAGACUUUAUAGCAGUCGUCCCUUUCUUGUCUUGUCUUUUUUUUUUAUUUCAUUGUUGGAUACUGGUUCUCACCAGUCCACAUCUUUGUUUUUCAUCUGCUGUUGAAUGUCUGCACAUGGAGACGUGAUGCAUUUCUCUUUAGAUCUUUCAGUUUUACCAUUCUGUUGCAGAGUUCAUUUUGAAAAGAUUUCUUGACUGAACAAGUAAAACCUUUUGAAGGCAAGUGACACUGAUACCCAGAAAAGGUAAUAAAUCACAGUUAGGUCAUGACUAGCAGAACACAAGAAUGUAAAAUCUGCAUUUAGGUCUGCUUUGGUUGUCUUUUUGUAAUAUAAACAUUUGUUUAAUGAUCUGAAAAAUGUAAAAAACAAGCCGAUUUUCUGCACUGCAGAUGAUUACAGACUUCCUGUCUUCUGAUUUUAACGACGUGUGCACUGACCUGAUUGAAAGGAUGUGUGCAUUUUAACUCCUAUCUAAUGCUUUUUGCUGGCUAAUGCUUAUGGAAAGCAAAUACUGCCUCCAAUGGAAGCCAGUAAGUUUCUUACUAACACGUCUCCAGAUUUUCUGUUACUCUUCCUCUAAUAACCCUUCCCAGGUGUUGACACCUUCCUAAUCCAGACCUCUGUUUGAUCACCACACAACUCUAUACCCUCCUUUGCUGCAAAGGCUCAGCUGUCUCCUUUGUGCAGCUCUCUCAACAUAGCUGAUAUUCAGCGGUUGCCGGUGUGUUUUUGGGUUGAUGUGCAGAGAGUGGCGCUUAUCUUAUGCAGCGAGCGGCAGUUUCAAGGUGGAGCGUGGCAAAUGAAAUUAACGGGUGUUAAUUGGGGCAGAAACUGGCAGAUGCAGGAAGGUUUGAGCACCAAGCAGCUCUCCCCUCUGAUCCCUUCUCCACCACAGAGAGAAGUUUUUAUUUGUUUGUUAGUUUUUUGUAAGGAGGAGGAGAGAAGUCGAGUUUUUUAGAAUGAACCCUGCUGCAAACCUGAUGCUCACUAACAGUUCUUGCAUCAGGUUCUCUGUUUCAGAUGCAGCUGGUAGAGUGGAUUAAUGUGCAGCUUUUUGUAUUAGAACAUGACAUGCAGUACUUUUAUUUAAAAGAAAAUAAAAAAAAUAAGGUAAUUGAAA